GACGAACGCUGGCGGCGUGCUUAACACAUGCAAGUCGAGCGGACAGACCAUGCGUUUGUGCGGUGCUCGUUUGGCGCGCGCGUGAGUAACACAUGAGUAAACUCCCCUUGUCUUACGGAUAAAUUCAGGGAACUGGGGCUCUUACAGGGUAGGAUAUCCUGAUGCAUGGUGUUGGUUGGUGAGAUUCGGCGGUUGUGGCUAGUAUGGCGGGUUAUGAGCUGGUUGGUGUGGUAGUUGCUUACCAAGGCUGCGACGGGUAGCCGGCCUUAGAGGGGGGACGGGCACAAUGGGCCUGAGGUACGGCGCAGACUGCUAUGUGCGGCAGCAGUGGAGAAUAUUGCACAAUGGGCGGAAGCGUGAUGCAGAAAUGCCGCGUGCGUGAUGACGUCUUUCGGGGUGUAAACCGCUUUCGCAUGUGACGAAGCGUGAGUGACGGUAACUGGUAAAGAAGCAACGGCUAACUACGUG
rnacentral:rRNA from 1 species